rnacentral:lncRNA from 10 species
CCAUUCUGUCUCUCUCAGCUCCUGCCACAAAACUAACCCUGCCCUCCCCUCUACCAGCACAAACUGUCAGUGGACACUUCUGCUUCAACUCUCUCUCACACUGGACUCUGAGAUCCUGGAAAGCAGGGACUUUAAUAUUUGGAUCUUUACCCUAGUAAGUGAUUGAGAACAAAUGAAUGACAGGAUGGAAGGAAGAGAAAAAGGAGAGAAGAGAAAGGAAGAUGGAGAAAGAAAAGGGACCUACAACCAUAGCUUAUGAGACAUUGCUUAAAUGAUGCCAUGUCAUGCCCAAAUAACAUUGAGUUAAGCUUGAAUCCCCUUGACUAUAGCAAAGAGUGAAAGAACUCAAAGUUAUUGUAGUGUAAAGACCACGUUGCUAUGUCUGGGGAGAAAAGAAAAAAUAUUCAUGUGACAGAGACUGAUUUGUUCUGCUCAUGGAAGUAAGGAGAUAGAAGAUAUUCUGGGCGGCAGCCUGACAAAGCCUGCCCUUUUCUGCAGAAAUGACAUUGCUACCAGAGGAGCAUUCAUCCAUGGUGAAAAGGGUUAGGGGACCUACGCUGGUCAUCAUGCUGUCCUUGUCUCGGAGUAUCAGAGACUGGCUACAGCUCGGGAUACCAAAGGCACAAAUUAGGAAUUUCCUCAAGGAUCACUUAGUAAUAGACACUCAUUAUGCAGAAGUAAUCACUGUAAACCAGAAAAGGUAAAUGACUUGCUCAAGAUCACACUGCUGGUUAGUAACAGAAAAGGAUUUUUUACCCUAUGCCUCAAUGUGCCUUCUUCAGCAAUAAGAAAGGAACCUAACACGCCUGCUCAUCAAUUAUUUGUGAAAGGUUAUUGGUAUUUUAUUUUACUCAGGUAUUUUACUCUAAGAAACAUAAAACCAUUAAAGCAACAUUGACUGUAUGACUUUGUGUAAGGCACUGGAUUAUAGAAACAUCUUUGUAUGUAAGCAAGAAUACAAGUUUCAGAGCCAGACAGGCUUUGUUUUAUAUUCCUGGCUUUUCUGCUGUUCCUCAGUGAUUUGAGGCAACUUAUUUGAGCCUUGAUUUCCUUCCUGAGCACUGUACCCUUUCCCAAAUGUGUGUUUGGAGUGAAUAAAGAUUAAAGGGUUGGGGCUCAGGUUGAUCAAACCAAUGUGAUAUUCAAGACACACAGCAGCUCUCAUGGGCUCCAGAGGAAUCUAGAAUCUAGUCUAGAGUAGGUAAUCUUCAAAUGAGGUAACAGAAGAGAGGCAGGCUGAUGAGAAACCUGUAGAGGAGUAAACAGCAAAUCUCUGGCCGGGUGCAAUGGCUCAAACUGUAAUACCAGCACUUAGGGAGGACAAGUUGGGAGAAUCACUUGAGGCCAGAACUUUAUAACUAGCCUGGAAAACCUGAGAAACCUGUGAUCAAACAAGGGCCUGAACCAGGCAGGCAAGUGCCAGUUCUGUCCAAGGAGGUCGUAUCUACCCGCACUGGAAAAAUGGUGGGGUGGUUCCUCUAUGCUUAUUUAGUGAUAAAGCAUCUUGAAUAUCAAAACGUACAGCGCAUCUAGAAUAUCAAUAAGAAGAUGUGUGUAAAUAAUUUAAGAAUAGAUUUUAGCGUAUAUUAAUAGGGUGAAGAACAAUGAACAUGAUUUUCUCAACAGAUGCAGGAAAAAAAUUGGACAACAUUCAUCUUUUUAUGAUAAAAACUCUUAACAAAUUAAGUACAGAAAAAAUGUUCCUUGACACAAUUACAGCCAGGUAUCACAAGCCCAUCAUACUCAACAAUGAAAAGUUGAAAGCUUUUCCUUCAGGAUCGGGAACAAGACCAGGAUUCUUACUCACACCAUUUCUAUUCAAUGUAGUAUUAGAAAUCCUUGCCAGAGAAAUUAGUUAAGAAAAAGAAAGAGAAAGUAUUCAAAUAGUAAAGGAAGAAGUAAAA